rnacentral:rRNA from 1 species
AAUAUUGGUCAAUGGAGGCAACUCUGAACCAGCCAAGUCGCGUGAAGGAAGAAUGCCUUAUGGGUUGUAAACUGCUUUUAUACAGGAAUAAACCACUUUACGUGUAAGGUGUUGAAGGUACUGUAUGAAUAAGCAUCGGCUAACUCCGUGCUAGCAGCCGCGGUAAUACGGAGGAUGCAAGCGUUAUCCGGAUUUAUUGGGUUUAAAGGGUCCGUAGGCGGGAAUAUAAGUCAGAGGUGAAAUCCGACAGCUUAACUGUCGAACUGCCUUUGAAACUGUAUGUCUUGAGUGAGAUUGAAGCAGCUGGAAUGUGUAGUGUAGCGGUGAAAUGCAUAGAUAUUACACAGAACACCGAUAGCGUAAGCAGGUUGCUAAGUCUUUACUGACGCUGAUGGACGAAAGCGUGGGGAGCAAACA